GGCGGCCGGCAGGGUCCGCGGCGCCGCGGGUCGGCGGGAGCGGUGGGCUCUGCCCAUGGGCCGAGCUCCGACACGGGGCGCGCCGGGAGCCGGUUGCCUGCAAGCUGAGGCCUGGGAUUUCAGAAACCCUAGCUCCCCAAGAUACGAAGCAGCAGGCUCUGUCAGCAAGUUGAGGGCCGUAUGGAACACAAAAGCAACCCACGCCAGUCCUCUCCUCACAGUCAAGUAUGUUGGCUGGCCUCCCAAAGGAAAGCAAAGGCAGAAGUGACUCUGAUUUGAAGUUGUGACCCACCACAAGGAUAAUCGCCAGCAGCUAUUGAUAGCUGGUUUCAGGAGCACCAGCCACAAAGCCAGACGAGCAGGGUAGCGGGCCAUUAGGCCACAGCCAGCUCGGACAACCUGGAGAAGCACAGGAGUACCGUCGACAAGGCCUUCUGGCACAGAUCUCCAUUGGCAUUUGGAGCUGCUACUCACAUUGUGUCCUAGGCCCUUGCAGGUGGUGGGCAUGCCCCAGACACUCAGCAUAUCCGACAUGGUCACCCCGGGCAGCCUCAGCCCACCCCCCACCGAGCCCACGGAUGGCGAGCAGGCUGGGCAGCCCCUCCUGGGUGGAGCUCCGUCUUCAGCCUCCUUGGACACCCUGAUCCAACACCUGGUGCCCACUGCCGACUACUACCCUGAGAAAGCCUACAUCUUCACCUUCCUGCUGAGCUCGCGCCUCUUCAUCGAGCCCCAGGAGCUCCUGGCCCGGGUCUGCCACAUGUGCAUUGAGCAGCAGCAGCUGGACAAGCCGGUGCUCGACAAGGCCCGGGUCCGGAAGUUUGGCCCCAAACUGCUCCAGUUGUUGGCCGAGUGGACGGAGACGUUUCCGCGGGACUUCCAGGAGGAGUCAACCAUCAGUCACCUGAAGGACGUGGUGGGCCGCAUCGCCCCCUGUGACGAGGCGUACAGAAAGAGGAUGCAUCAGCUCCUGCAGGCUCUGCACCAGAAGCUGGCAGCUCUGGGCCAGGGACCAGAAAGCCUGCUGGGCACCGACAAGCCCGUCUCCUACAGGACCAAGCCUCCAGCCUCCAUCCACAGGGAGCUCCUUGGCAUCUGCAGUGACCCCUACGUGCUGGCUCAGCAGCUGACGCACGUGGAGCUGGAACAGCUGCGGCACAUUGGACCUGAGGAGUUUGUCCAGGCUUUUGUGAACAAGGACCCUCUGGCCAGCACAAAGCCUUGUUUCAGUGAGAAGACUAACAACCUGGAAGCUUACGUGAAAUGGUUCAACAGACUGUGCUACCUCGUGGCUACUGAGAUCUGCAUGCCAGCCAAGAAGAAACAGAGGGCCCAGGUGAUUGAGUUCUUCAUCGACGUGGCCCGGGAGUGCUUCAACAUCGGCAACUUCAACUCCCUAAUGGCCAUCAUCUCGGGCAUGAACAUGAGCCCGGUCUCCAGGCUGAAGAAGACUUGGGCCAAAGUGAAGACGGCCAAGUUUUUCAUCCUCGAGCACCAGAUGGACCCAACAGGCAACUUCUGCAACUAUAGAACAGCCCUGCGCGGGGCAGCCCACCGCUCCCUGACUGCCCACAGCAGCCGGGAGAAGAUCGUCAUCCCCUUCUUCAGCCUGCUCAUCAAGGACAUCUACUUCCUAAAUGAGGGCUGUGCCAACCGCCUCCCCAAUGGACAUGUCAACUUUGAGAAAUUUCUGGAGCUGGCCAAGCAAGUAGGAGAGUUCAUCACCUGGAAACAAGUGGAGUGUCCCUUCGAGCAAGACCUCAGCAUCACCCACUACCUGCACACUGCCCCCAUCUUCAGCGAGGAUGCCAAACACUGGAAACAACCCAGAUGGCCUUCAGUGGGUGAAUGGUUAAACAAAGUAUGGUAUGGAAUACUAUUCAGCUACAAAAAGGAAUGCCCCCCACUGAUGCACACUACAGCAUGGAUGCAUCUCCAGAGAAUUGCUGAGUGAAAAGAGCCAAUCCCAAAAGGUCUUUAUUUGGCUUCUUAUGAAAGUGAGAGCCCAGAGAACCAAACAGAAAAAGAGAGGUGGAAAUCUCUAAGGUCUUCUAUUCUGGGGAAGACGUGAGAGGCGCUGAGCUGGAGCAGGAGGAGGAGGGAGAGGAAGAGAGGAAGCCAGCCUUCUGCAGCCCUGCCUGCCCCAGCCAGCCCAGUGGGAGGUGGAGGCACUGAUGCGUCACUGCUUUGCAAACUGUGAUCCUGUGGCCUGCCACCUGCCGCAGUGACCACACGGCCCAGGCGAACUUUCUCCACCUUUUGUGAAACCUCAGCCCUGGAAGGGCCCAGGGCCUCCAAACAUAUGAGGGGCACAUGCCUCGGGGGCCCUGCCUUCAGAACAGUGGCGGUCACAUUGCUGGUCAGUCUGUCUGUCCUCAGCAAUGAUCCAAGAGGUCGGGCGGCUGUGGGCUCACCCCCGCCACGGAGGUGAACACCUAGCCUGUCUCCAGGUGACCUGGGAACCUUUAGAUAUCCAGCAGCCGUCAUAGUGGCAUGGGAGGGGGCACAGCCCACUUGCGGCCCCUGCCACGUUACUAAUGGACCCAGUCCUGCCCAGUGAGAUGGGCUGGUUUCUGUAGCCCUGUGUAUACCCUUUCGGCAUCCUCCUGGUAUCAGGGUAGCUUCCUGGUGAGAGCUAUGACAGCAGGUCAGCAGGACAAAUGUGAGUCAUGCACUUGACCAUGUGUACAGUACAUUGUACAUUUUAGAGCUGGUAUAAACACGCUGGUAUACCCUGUGUAUUCACAUCCA